UGCCUACGGGACGCAGCAGUGGGGAAUAUUGCACAAUGGGGGAAACCCUGAUGCAGCAACGCCGCGUGAGUGAGGAAGUAUUUCGGUAUGUAAAGCUCUAUCAGCAGGGAAUAGAAAAGAAGGUACCUGAAAAAGAAGCCCCGGCUAACUACGUGCCAGCAGCCGCGGUAAUACGUAGGGGGCGAGCGUUGUCCGGAAUCACUGGGCGUAAAGGGCGCGUAGGCGGUAAUAUAAGUCAGAUGUGAAAGGUGGGGGCUCAACCCCUAGAGUGCAACUGAUACUGUAUAACUUGAGUGUGAGAGAGG
rnacentral:rRNA from 1 species